UACGAUUUCUAAAUCUAUGGUUCUAAGACACUUCUAAAUAUUGAUAUUAAUUCACUCUUUUUAGCCGUUUCGUUUGUGAUUUACUCCUUUGGACACUGCCCAUAAUAUGUGGCAAAGUGCGUUGUGUUGUGUAUCAAAAUGCCAACUAUAAAUGUUAUAAUGUGCAGUGCAGUUCGCUGAGAAGCAAAAAUCAGCCUUAUUUAACAUUUCAUAGGAUGCCAAGGAAUGAGAAGUUGAGACAAAAGUGGUUAAAUGUUAUUGGGAUCGAAAACAUAAAUCCACGACACAAACAAUGGUUUGUCUGUUCUCUACAUUUUGAAGAAAACAGUUUUAAUAAAACAUUAGAUGUAACAAGGCUACGGGAAAAUGCAAUACCAACCCAAAAUUAAAAUAUAAUAUAUAAAAAAGCAACUGUUGAGUUUCAUGCCGGCUCUUAGCAGAACCUGAAUUCCGAACCGGCGGCAGGCCUGGCUCACUCCGCGUUUUAAGAAAAACGUAUAAGUACAAUGUACCCUGCACCCCUACGUCGCGGCGAAUUCAGGCGAGAGUCGCGCGCCGCUCGUUUAAUCGAAUAUUAUUAACCAAAACAUUUUUUUAUAUUUUUUAUAAUAUAUUUUUUUUUAUAUUUGUAAAUUAAAAUUUGUUAAUAACCUUG